rnacentral:tRNA from 1 species
GUUGGUUUGUAGCUCAGUGGUAGAGUCUAUCUAACACGCAUGGAGACCUGGGUUCGAUCCCUAGCACCAAUA